GUGUGGGUCUGAACUAAGAAAUGCUGUUGCAACUUGAGGCUUUCUGACAGACAUAUGUAGGAUGCGACAUCCUGCGAUGCAUUGAUCCAUGCCCUGAAGAUAUCCAGCAGGUUGUAAAGGCCCUCAUUUUACUAAAGAGCUUUACAGUGUGACACCUUAUUGUAAUUAUUGACACAGGCAGCAAAAGUCACCUUUUAAUAGUUGCCCACCAUUUCUCAUGAUCAAGUUCAAUUUUCGUUUCUUGUAUCUCAUUUCAUUAAAACUCCAUGACUCCGUGCUGAAAUUUUUCCAUUCUGAACAUCUGCCUUGAGGUAAUGAGGUGUGUAAACUGUACUUUGGCCAAAAAAUUAUUCUUUGUUGGCUCCACCCUCUCACAUUUUUCCACUUUAAGGUUUUCAGAGAUGACUGGAUACAGGUGGCCUGGACUUCUUUUUUUUUUCUGAUGGGGAAAGGAACCAGAUGGAAACCAAGUUGAGAAGGAACAAUGGAACAAUUAAAUGCGUUCUUGAGAGUACUACAAAAUGCCAGGGGGUAGCCUAACAGAUAAGUGCUCUCUGGAGUUGUGGAAAACUAAAAAGCUGCAUUCCUACUAUUUAACUGCAUUAAAUUGGGUUAAACGUAAGAUCUUGCUCCCUUUUUCCUUGUUCACUGUCAGCUGCCUGGCCCCGCUGCUUCUGAUCUGUCAGUGUUGGCAGCUGAAAGACUAUGUAGCGAACCAAUUCAGGAGACUGAUGUGCCUGAAAACUAAUCUGUCAGAAUAUAAAAGUUUUCAGGUCACUGCAUAGCUGCCUGAAGACUAGUACUCACCAGGAGGUGACAGGUAUAUGUGGCUGGCUGAGCCAAAAAGCUCAAGGUUCAGGUUCAUGGAACUUGCUUAGUGUGUGUGCAUGUAAAAUAUUGGCUAAUUUUUAACUAGUAUUUCCAAGAAAUCUCUGUGAACUACAGGUGUGGAGAGUGGACAGCCUUACAAGUGUUGAAAGUUGUGUUGAUUGUUACUAUGUCAAAUGUUCUUUGCCUGAAAUCUUCAUAUUCCUGUGGACCUGAAGCUGUGUCAAACCUGGCCAGGGCCCCUGGCACACUGGUGUGUGCUGUGGAAUACACUGCCAUGGCAAAGUGGUGAGGUUUGGUCUGAAUCAUUAUUUAUUUAUUUAUUUAUUUUUAAUGUAGAUCAGCCAUGUCCAAAGGAAACGACCACAAAACACAAAAGACUGUGAGAAUGUUUGAUCCCAGGCAUUAAACUUUGGCAACGUAGUCCCUGACCAGCACGUUGGAAAAGGGGCUCAAAGCUUAUCUGGCAAGUUAAUCUGUCUGUGUCAGGGACAUAUCCUGUUGCUCUGGUGAAAGUGAGCUGAAGGCAACUAAACUGUAAGCAAUCAAAAAAGAUUCCUGUUUCCUACAAAAGAACUUGACUGAUGGGCUUUCUCCUCAAACUUAUGGGCCGUAGAGUUGGGUUGGUUUUGUGUUUGUUUUUUUUUUUUUACUUUUUCAUUAAUUACUUUUCCAGAACAAGUCUGUGUAGGUGAGCUGAGGUGCUGUCUAGCUGAUUUUUUUUUAAUAGCCACUUGGCUCUAGGGGACACCAGGUGCUCAGAUGUAUGAGUAAAACUGUCCACACCCUUGUGAGUUACUGCUGGAUUAACUUUGCCUGUGCAUAGCAUGUUGCAAAACUGCAGAAAAGUGCACUAUAGCUGCCUGUGACAGAGGCUGAGCCAAGUGCAUUUUACCUCACAUUAACCUUCAGAUAAGAUGGUGUAAUUUGCUGCAAGAUGAAUUACUGCUACUCUGUUGACAGACUAGUUAUGCUGUGAUGACUUGCUGAUGUGUUUGAACUGUAAAAUCAGACAAAGGGAAGUAGAAAAUUGAGGCAAGGAAGGUAGGAUUAGGCACUAGUCGAGAGCAAAUAGUAGCUGGACAAAGAAAAUAUGGAUUGGACAUGAAAGCGUAAUUUCAGAGGAGAAACCUGGCUGGCUGAGCAAAGAAAAAUUAGUAGGAGGGUGGGGUGGUAGAGAACCAGUGUGCAGUGGGUGGAGGGAGAGACAGGGUGAGCAGCCAAUAGAGCAGAACUGAAGUGGUCUGGACAAGAAAAUGGGAGACCUAGGUGAGGAGCUGAAAAUGUGGGGAACGGUGUGGAAAGACAGGAUUACAGAGGAUAUGGCAAAGAACUUGAGCUAAACAGAUGAUGAGUCUCUCUACUCUGUUUUCCUUCUGUCCUCUAAAACCUGGGAGGGAACUGGGUUUCUUGUAUGUAAAUUUUACCCUGCAGUCCAUGAGGAUUUGUGAGACCCUGGCAAGAUGUCAUCCAUCUGGCUUUAAGCUUCAUUACAUAGAUCGUCCUCAUCUGCUGUUAGCAGGUAUCAAAUGACAGCACUGUUGUGGUGCUGGGUGCAUGUGAUGCUUCGUGGUGGCAUUUUUCUAGUUAUUAAAAAAAAAAAAAUCUAAGUUACAGGCAACAAGGUUAUAGCGUUAAAAGCACUGUUGAGGCUUUGACGGCAGGAAAUCCCCAAAGUAAUCUGUUUAAAAUUAGUAACCGUUAGUGUGUCAUUUCCCAUUUUUGCCACAAGAUGUCACAAUUCCUCCAUGUAUGGUCCUGUCCAUCCCAGGCUCUAGCCUGGGCGCCUCCAGUUCAGCUCUUGUAUUUAAAUGUGAAAGGAUAUAAAAUGAAUUCGGCGGUUGGACCCAUCCAAGGUAUGUGGUUCAAAAGAAGCAGGAAAGCAGCAGCAGCAAAAGGAUGCAGUCAACGUGGUUGCUAGAUUUUUAAUCCAGAAGAAGGGAGCCUUCCUUCCAGCCCACCAG